ensembl:lncRNA
GGAUAUCCCGCCUGGCCCGGGGCCUGAACCCUGGCAGGGCCGGGCUACUUCUGGGCAAGAUGCCAAGGGUUGCAGAAGGUGGCCUGUGCCCUGUGGGCAGUCGGUUAGCAGCCCUCCCACACCAGACUUCGGCAGCAGGAGUCAGGGAGGAUGUGCUGCGCUACGUGUAUUCCUGGGCCUGGCAUCCAGCUCACCUGCAUACCUGAGCACGCUAGGGGCAACGGCUGGUCUCCACCUGGCUUUCUCUGCUGCCCAGAUGCUUGUCCCUGGAACCACCACCAUGUUGUGAGGAGGCCCAGGCCAGUGGGAGGCAAGAGUCCUGCCAAGGCUGCAGCUGACAGCCAGCGGGCCCUGAGAUAAGCUGGAGCCCAACAUGCGAGCCAUCCUCACCCCCGUGCCCUGCCCAAAUUCAAGAACCAGGUCAAUGCUGCUGUGGUUGGGUGCUACCAAGUGCGUGGUGCUUGCUGAGCAACCACAGUAACUGACACAGUAACUCCUCCCCGGGGCCUGGACAAGCCCCUUCCCGGCCCUGCCUGGUUUCUGCUUGCAUGCCCGUCCCACGGGAAGAUUGUGGUGCUGGAAAGAUCAAGUGGGAUGAACAUAUCAACUGUGAAGUGACAGUAAAACCCUGUCAGCUGCACGGUCCACCAGCUCCUAACAUAAAGGACCCAGGAAGCCCCUCCUCCCCGGAGAUAAGCUCCAGAUGGAGGAGGAGCAAGUAUGGAAAGGAAAGGAACCGAAACACUCCAGGGGAAUGGAGCCUGUGCGUGAAAACCUCUUCCAAAGCACCCUGGAGUGCGGAACCCUGCAGGUCCUGCAGUCCAGCACCCGCCCCAGCCCCAGGCGGUGACAGCAGGCCUAUUCACCACCCAACACGCCCCCUUACGUGCGUCCCUUUGGAUUAUUUUGCCAUCCUGUGCUGCCACUGCAGGAACAGGUUUACCACUGUGAACAACAGCGAUUCACCGCAUUUUGUGUGUUGCGUUGCCCCGCUGUGGUCUCAGCGUGAAAAGCGGCUGCCGGGAGCAGGGGCAGCCCCCAGUGCUGUCAUUAACUGCAUGACCAUCGGUCCUCAGCAUGGCAGUCAGGAGACCCCAGGCCUGGGGUGGGUGGGCCCUCCUAAGGGCCAGCUCUCGCAACCCAGAUGCCAACCCAGAAGCGCCGUCAUCACCAUGGCAACACCCCUUCUCACAUCUGUGGGCUGCGUAAUCCUCGGGGCCCAGCACACAGGGAAACGGUGCCAUUAUGGACACAAAAUGGGGAGUCUCUUUCCUCCUCUGUCCCAUCUGCUUGUCUGCUAUUUUCCACGUGUAUGGCCCCCAUGGCGGAGGCCAGCCAGUGUCGGGGAUCCCAGGCAGGGGAGAUGGUCAAGAACCUGUCCCAGGAAGGGCCAUGCCCCCAGCAUACCCUCCUUCGUCCCAUUGGACUUCAUCACAGAAUAAACGCCAAGACAAAAUCAUUAAAGUUGGGAUCCCUGGGUGGCUCAGCAGCUUGGCGCCUGCCUUCGGCCCAGGGCAUGAUCCUGGAGUCCCGGGAUCAAGUCCCACCACGUGGGGCUCCCUGCGUGGAGCCUGCUUCUCCCUCUGCCUGUGUCUCUGCCUCUCUC